AUACGUAGGGCGCGAGCGUUGUCCGGAAUUACUGGGCGUAAAGGGAGCGUAGGCGGGAGUGCAAGUCAGAUGUGAAAUACAUGGGCUCAACCCAUGGGCUGCAUUUGAAACUGCAUUUCUUGAGUGAAGUAGAGGUAAGCGGAAUUCCUGGUGUAGCGGUGAAAUGCGUAGAUAUCAGGAGGAACACCGGUGGCGAAGGCGGCUUACUGGGCGUUUACUGACGCUGAGGCUCGAAAGCGUGGGGAGCAAACAGGAUUAGAUGCCCUGUUAGUCCACGCUGUAAACGAGGAUUACUAGGUUUGGGGGGACUGACCCCUUCCGUGCCGCAGUUAACACAAUAAGUAUUCCGCCUGGGGAGUACGGCCGCAAGGUUGAAACUCAAAGGAAUUGACGGGG
rnacentral:rRNA from 1 species